UUUCUUUUUUUUUUUUUUUUUAAGAUUUCAGUCUACAAAUUAUUUAUCAAACAGGUCCAUAAGGAGUUCAAGGGGGAAAAAUUGAGAGCAAAAAAGUGAAAAUGAAAUACAACCAAUUCUACUCAGCUCCUCGCAUAGCUAAUUGCCAUCAAUAUUUACAACAGUUCCCUCCUACCGUUGAUCCCAACUAAACACCUUCCAGGGAGAAAACCCAUUAACUGAACUUAUCCUAGUUAUCCAUCACUCUCACAAACCUAGGAGUCUUAUUCUUCAUCCUCGUACUGGCAUCUCAAUCUCAAAAUUGGCAUGAGGUACCAAGCCUCUGUAUCUGCCUCUGACCAAGGGUCACAGAUUUCCGUUUGGCAAAUGCCGGGUACAGCAAUUCCUGAAAUUUGUCCAAAAACGGAGUCCAUUCCUCCUCACUUAUGUCAGUCAACUUCACAAAACUCAUGCUUGCCGGAAGCUGCUCAUUAGCACUCCUAUGCCCAGAAGAUGUAUUAGCAAAAUAGCCAUUUUCUGGUUUUGCUCCUGACAAUUUCUGGCAUUUCUGUUUCUUGUCACCUAAUGUGCUAUUCUCAAGUGAAAUAGAAAGCUUUGACAUGGUUGGUGACAUUUCAGCCAAGGGUAGAUCAGCAAACCCCUCUUUCCCUACAUAGUCCACGAUGCUUUCCUCUUCCUCUUCGUCCACCUCCUCCUCUAUGCUUUCCUCUAGUUUUGAAAGAGGGAAACGACCAUUCCCAACCACAGUUCCAAAUUGAAAAGGUGUUCCAGUCAAAUAGUCUUCUGUUGUCGUCUUAGGAGUGUAGUCAAUUUCUGUUUCUUCAGAGUCUAUAUCAAACUGGAAUUCCUCAUCUCCCAAAUCUGUACGGGGAGACAACACCUCCCUCUCUGUAAUCAACCUCCUAGCCUCAAUACAUACAACCUCAAGCUCACUGGGUUCCUCCUCCCCAGCGCGAAAAUCCCUGCUCAUCAUCUCGCCAAUUUCAGCAAGACAGAGACCAGCAGCAGCAGCUUCCUUCAGGAAAAUCGUGCAGAGAACCAAGACCCGCAAACAAGCCUCUCGAAUCAUAGGGAGCUCACUUCGCAGCAUAUCACAAUCUGUUCCAGGAUUAAGUUUUUGUAUAUACUCAAGCUCAUCAUCAGAGAAUGGGAUUGAAGCUUGAGGCCAAUGAAUCCACUCAAAGUAUGGAUCCUCCAAUGUUUCUGGCAAGCAAAGACCAUGAUCAAUUGGAAUCAGCUCUACUUGCCCGAAUCUCCCAACACGAUCAAGCUUCCUUACUAAAAGAUUUCCGGCAUGUCUGUCUGUGUUAAGAAUCCUAACAUCUAAUAUCCCAAUACGAUGCACAGCAGAGACUGGGAAGCUGGAUGUCCCAUGAUCACUUGCAUCAAAAUCAUGUGGUAUGAAUUGUUGGAAAGAUGCAAUCUUGCUAACCUGAUUCUUCUUGUGAGGCUUGUUCCCAUUCACCCCAUCAUUGACAUUGAAGAUUGAGUGAGUGAUCUUCACCAAGGCAGUAGGAGGCACAUUUGCAAAGUGAUCAUAGUCAAGAAGGUAAGCAGCUACUUCCCUGAACCCUGUCUCCCCAACCCGCACAGACCUUUUCAAACCUGGUUGCCCAAGUGCUUUACCAACAAAGCCUUUUGGGUUGUUUGGUGCAAAAGGUUCUUCAUCUGUUGGUUUGACAAUUGCAACACUCUCACCUUUGCUGUUCCUAAAAUAGUAUGCACCUCCAAGCCCACUAUGAACUGGAAUUGGAUCAACACCCAUCUUAAUAGCCUUGAUACUUUCCUUGACCAACUGUUUCAUUUUAGCAAAGCUAUUUAACUGUCCCAAUAUCUCAACAAGACCACUCCGAUCUCUCUGUUGGAUUUCCUUGCCAGUUGGUGAAAGACAAGGAGUAGAUGAGCUUCUAUGCAGACAAUUUCGUGUUAAAAGAAGAGGAGAAUCAUUACGAACAGCACUAAGGUCAUUGUUCAGUACCAUAUCCCCAAAAGUCAAGCAACUCUCCUCAGUGGGGACUUUAAGGGCAAGCUGCAACCUUCUUUUCACUGUGUGUGCAUUGUCACCACGAUCCAAUUCCAUCCCAAAGACACAACCAGUCUCAGUUUGCACAAAAACCCGUCUCCUGCCAGCAGGUUGUUUCCCCUCCAUCCUCCUGUUUCCGUGAUAUUCCCCACUGAGUGGGCUCUUAAAGACUGCCACUGCCAUCUGGGUCUGAACUGGGCUGUCUAACUUACGAGACAUGAAAUGGAAUGAGAAUCUUGUGUUCAAUGCCGCUGGUGACAGAGGCGGCCAAGAAGGAAGAGAGCUUCUUCCCUCUCAAGAAAGGGCCAAACACCAAACUCGGUUGCAAUUGAUAUUCUUUGCAAAUAGUAGAAUUCACUAUCAAUCAUUAAAUUGACAGCCUCAACCUCAAACUCUCCCCACAAUUCAAAACGCAGAAACCAUCACCACAGAAGCAGAGUCUGUGAAAGAGAUUUCAAGCCCAAUGCUACAUUAAGCAAGCCAAUUCUACAACACUGGAUAAUCAGAAGUAUCAAAAUCGCAAGAUCUGAGAGAACUCCACCGUAGAGUCGCGAAUGAAUCAGAGCCGUAACAUCAAACUGAAACCUUCGAAGAAAAUUGAGAAAAAAGAAUCAGCAGAACGACAAGGGGUAUGUUCUAUGAAAUCGUGUUCAGGCGAAUUCGAAGGUUCUAAGGAGGAGGGAAAGCAUGAAUGAAAUCGCCCGAUUUGAAUCAGAAUUCAACCAAAGCCAAUACCACAAAAUGAAAAACCCUCCUCAAAUUCUUGUUUCUUUUGGGCCUCGGUUUUCUUCUGUCCUGCUUGCCUUUCUCUUUCCUGGAACGUUCUUUAACCUGGUGUGGAACCUAGGUUUAAAACUAACCAUAGUUACUUCUUCAUUCCACUAUCUUUC
rnacentral:misc_RNA from 1 species